GACCAGCGCAAGACCUGACUCCCAUGAGGGAGGCACAGCAGCGAUGUAGAAAAGUGCUACGGCUGCCGGGGCCGGGCCCACAUUUCUAUCUCUACCUGUGAAGGACAGGAACAUCAAGAAAAGGCUGCUAGGGGCCUCCCAAGGAUACAAGCUCCUUUCUCCUCCUCCCUGUGGACACCGGAGCGGAUGUCCCCGCACCUGGCUCCGCGGGGCUUCCCCGAACAGCAAUUCCCCACACGCUCACCCACACCUACGCGCAUCGGGCCGAGCCCCGCGUCCCAGUCGAGCGCAGCAGGCCCGUCGUCCCACCGCAGGAUAAGGGCGAGUUCCUUCUCCCGAGAUCCUUCCUACUCCUCCUCCCCAUCGGAUCCUGAAACGGCAGGCCGCCCUUUCGGCCGUCCUCUCUCCCUGCCGCACCGGCCCCGGGAAGAGCGCCCCUCCAGCCCGGCCUCAGCCCGGCCCGUGCGGGACCGGGCGCCAGGCCCGCGCCUCUCCAGGCAAACGGCAACACCACUCCCACAGUGCCCUUACCUGCGGCGGCCGGGUCGGGGCCAGUGCUGCCCCCGGCGCCGUUCCGGCUGUAGCCCCCCUGCCCUGGGCGACAGCAGACUAUCUCUGUGCUUCCCCCGGGGCUGCAGGUAUGUCAUCAGCACCGCGGCUCCCAGGUGAGCCGGGCACACCUACAGGAAGGCAGGCGGGCCGCCCUGAUUGGCGUGCGGGGCUGACAACGGGGCUCGCACCCCCGCUGGCGAGUGUGGGGCUGGGCGUGAGGAGGGUCGUCCUCGUCCUCUUCCUGGCAACAGCAGAGCCAGCGUACUUGCCCCCUGUCGUCUCUGGUUCCAGAAAGACAAGCUGUGGCACUUCCUUUUUUCACAACCUUCUUCAUUACCCGAGUCUCUCUUCCUGCUGCUUAAGGGCUCUUCAAGUUUAAGAAGAAAGUUCUUCCUGCAGACCAGCUGGAUGAGGGACCUCCAAACUUGGCCUCCUGGGAUGGAGAGGGACAUUUUUGCUAGCAGGCCUAUUGGUAGGCCAGAUAUCCUGAGGUUCAUUGCGAGCCCUAGAAAUAAAUGACUGCAAGUGAAAGGUGAGAUACAAAGGCACAAUGCUGCAGGUUGUUUUGUGCUAGCCAAAGCUGUUCAGGCAGUAGGACCUCAGCGAAAUCCCGCAUAGAAAGCAAAACUGAAAGGAGAAGCAGGCUGCAAUUGAGAAGCUUACUAAAUAGCCCUGUGGUUCAAUCCUAUUGCUGUGUAGCAGCUGGGUGCAGAAAGAAUUGCACAUACACCCAGGCAGGCAGCUGCAGCACCUUAGCAUGUGCAGCCAGGGGAGGAGGAUGACAUCCAGACUCCUUCCCCUGUGCUGCCUUAGUCCCAUCCUGCAUAUUCCUGCUACUCCCAGCAGUGCUGCUUCCUACCUAAGAUCCACUUGUGAUGUUGUCCAUCUAAGUAUUGUUUCCUGUGGUAUAGGUCAGUGCUGCUUAUGACUCAGACCAGCCCUUCAGUUUCUUUGCCUCUGUUGGAUAGACACAAAAUGCAUCCCACAAACAAAUUAAUCUGUCUCAUGCACGUAUAUAGAUGAUUCCCAGUUAAUUAGAAAACUGCACACUAGCAUCCUUGUCCUAAAUUAAGAGAAUCUUGAAUGGCUGUAGUAUCAGGUACUUAAAGCUACAGAAAUUCUCCCUGCCACCUGGCUUUUUUUUGUUUUGUUCUGUUUUGUUGUGCAUAUCAUUAUGCAUAACAAGGCAGUUAUUUAUGACAUAAGCACAUACAUUUUCAUAAGUUCGGCUUUUGCAGAGGUGGACAAAGCUGAAAAAUGUUCCUCCCCAGUGUCCUUGCAUGAGAGGUAUCCUUGAGGUGCUCCCUCAGCUUCUGUAUAUAAUAACACGCUGCCCUGUAUUGGGAAGGUGUUGCCUCCUCCCUGCAGCCAGGAGAGGUAAUGUUAACACAAAUAUACUUUUACACGUGUUCCUGUAUGUUGGUGAAGUGGCUUUGGAAAUUUGUCCUUCAUGAGCCCUGCAGAUACACUGGGUUACUAUUAAGGCUUUCUGUGAGAGUGCCAACACCUACCAUUUUCUUAUAGUUUCAACUUUUUAAAAACAAAACCUCUGAGAUUCUAGCCCCAGAAGAGGGCAAGAGCUGCUUGUUCAUUUUGGUGCACAAGAGUCAUAUUGCCUCAUGCCAGCAGUGUGAGAAACACUCAAAAUCAAUUAUUUCUGAUCAGAUGCAGAUCUUCGUGAGGUGGCCAAGUUUAUUCGUUACUGCAUUAGCGGGCGCACGCCACCUUGUGGUAAGGAAGAAAUUGUGAGCUUAAUCAGUGAAAUUACACUAUUUUAUACCCUUUCUACUAAGUAUGUGACAUCUCUCCUGUUGCUCAUUGGCUAAGCAUCUCAGACGCACAACCUACUAGACACAGUUGCUAAGGUAUGUUUCCAUAUAAGGUUUAUCACUCACCUGUCGUUUUUCAUUUUUCAAAGCAUCGGGUACUGCAUAUGUUUCAAGACACCCAGUGGUUGCUUCCACCAUGGUAAGCACAUAAAGCUUACCAUUGCGAGAUUGUGCCAAGAUGAUAUAAUCAACCUGCCACACCUCUCCAUAUUUACGCUUUUGCCAUUGCCCUUCCCCCCAGAGAGGUUUCGUCCUCUUGGCUUGUUUAAUUGCAUCACAAGUUUCACAGUGUAUACUAGGCUCUUGCUAUCCUGCCUAUCCUCCAUAGGUAGUAUCAGUGUUUACCCACCUGGUCAGAAUGUUCUGAAAAACAGAAUAACUGGCAGACUCAUUCUAGCUUAUAUUAAGCUCUGCCUCAACAUCUCAUUGUGAACAACAACCCGUGCAUCCAUUUUGUAAGAAAGUUUAGUAAAGGCCUAUACCUUAGUGCUAGAAGUUUUUUCUACUGCAAAACCUCAAUCUACCUCUCACAAUCAACGAGGUGUGUGGGGCUGCAACUAGAUGCUUGCUCUGUCUGUGGACAGGGAAUCAGCCCUAGUCUAAGGAAGCUGUCCUUAAGAGGGAUUGUUGGGGACAGGAAGCAAAUCCUAUAAGCAAAUUUUUGACAACAAGAAGAGAAACCAUUCUCCCUUGGGCUUUGCCUCUUCCACCACUCACCUAGCAAAUCAGGCCAAAGUAUAUGUUAUUCUUAUCCUAAGAAUCUGCGCAGUACUGGCCAGCAUAACACAGCUUGAUAGGACCUACCUUGAGAGCACAGUGCUGAUUGCAGACUUCCACAGGAGUUGCUCUAACCCGACUCUUAGGCAGUUUUGAUCCUUAAUAUCAGUGGCCUUUUUUAGUCCUUGAAAAUACAGAUUCUUUUCUGACCCAUGGUGGCACAAGACCAAAAUGCAUCUAGGCUGUCCAUGAUACCUCUCUGAAAGGCCCUAAUUAAAAUAAUAAUAAUAAUAAUCUUUUAAUAGCCCCCACAUUUAGUAGUAGAAAAGUGAGCACGUGUUUCUGAAAUCACCUUCACAGGAGUGGCCUACUGUCCUCAAAAUUGCCAUGAACAACGGGUAGAAGCAAGCUCAGGCACACAUCAUCUCCUGUAGGAUCUAUUCCUGGCCCAGGCCACAGAUAUCCGCCUCAAACUCCGCCUGGCAGUCAGUCCCUUGCAGGGAGUAAGAUGUGCAGCUCCAUAGUAUUACCAAAUCUCCCAAGGACCAGUGUUUUGACAGUCUCAAUGGAAGGGUGGGGGAGAAGUCCUUCAGUCCCACUAGGUAAAUAUAUUGUUCUAGGCCAUCACAGUUCCAGCAAUAGAACUACCAAAGGUGAUGCUGUGAUACAGAAACAGUAUACUAACUCCACUGUAUUCUUUUGUCUUUCUGUAGUCCAACACUGUAUAUCAGCAGGGGAUUCUUAAUGCCUCACACCCCUGUCACGGAGUUAUCUAGAUCAAUGUAGAUAAAUCUAUGCCCGUGACAGAGGGGCAGUAGGCCAUUGCUGUUCCUCCCAGAGAGUUUUCGUCCUCUCGCCUUGUUUAAUAAUGGCACAUUUCACAGUCAUGAAUAACUUGUGCUAUAGCGUACAUAGUUAAGUCCACCCCUCAGUCUCUAGCCCACUUAUAUGUUGCAUCUCUUCCUUGAUGGCCCGAGGUCUCAUGGGCCCACUGAGCUAGAAAUAAUUCACCCUUUUGUUGCCAGUCC